UACGGAGGGUCCGAGCGUUAAUCGGAAUUACUGGGCGUAAAGCGCACGCAGGCGGUUUGUUAAGCUAGAUGUGAAAGCCCCGGGCUCAACCUGGGAGGGUCAUUUAGAACUGGCAGACUAGAGUUUUGGAGAGGGGAGUGGAAUUCCAGGUGUAGCGGUGAAAUGCGUAGAUAUCUGGAGGAACAUCAGUGGCGAAGGCGACUCCCUGGCCAAAGACUGACGCUCAUGUGCGAAAGUGUGGGUAGCGAACAGG
rnacentral:rRNA from 1 species